AACACAUGCAUCUAUAACUUAUAUCUAGAAUGAUUUUCCAUCGCAUGUUAGAAGCAUCAAUUCUUAUUCCCCAAAGAUAAAAGUAUCCGGUUGGUGAUUGGUACACGUGUAAAGAUCACAUAUUCGAAACUCACGUAACCUGGCGCUAUCAUAACAUCAGCAUGAUUGGGCCGUAGCUGGACGCCCACGUAACUUGGCCCUAUAUUACCAUUUUCUUUAAAGUUCCAACUUCUAUCAGCUGUGGGCUUCUGAGUAAUCAAAUGUUUUCUCAGACCUUCUGAUUAUUCAUGUAUACACUCUGCUCAUUCAGCUGUGGGCUUUGGUCAUUCGUUUAAAUUAAUUUCAACUGAGUUUAGGAAGAAACCUUUUACACCAUUUCUCUUACCACAUCACAAGCCUCAUACGGUUCUUUUCCCUACGAAAUCCACUAUAGAAUUUGCACUCCACCAUUGCUCUUCACUCAUGUUCUCAUCUCUUUUGCCUCUUAACGAUUUCCAUGUUCAGCACAUUCCAUUUAACAGAGCUGUGUAUGAAACAAUGUUUGGUUUGUAUCCAUGUGUAUGCAUAACCAGAAUGAACACAUUAUUUGGCAGUACAACGAUAUUUGAUGGCUUUUCAUCGAUCAACGGAAUCAAUUGCAACAGCUAUGUCGGGCUCAGAUCGACGACAAUAAAUAAAGUUUGAGUUGCUUCUCUUCCAACUGCACCAUGC
rnacentral:lncRNA from 1 species